AUGAUUCAUAGUAAUAUGAAAAAGUAUAUUUAUCGCCAGGGGUUAAUAAAACGAAUUCUAGCUACUAGCUCAAAUGGGCGAAGCAUUAGCAGUAUGUACAUUUUGAGUAAAAAUGUAAAAUUACCGAAAAAGGAAACAAUAGUGUGGGCACCUGUUUUGUUAAGACAUAUGUCAAAUAAUGUGUUAACAACUAAUGCAGAAAAAACUGUAGAAGAAAAUAUGAGCAAUGAAGAAUUAAUCGAAUUUUUUGAAAAUAAUAAAAAUAUGAAUAUAGAUAAGUUGUAUAAUUUGAUUAAAAUUAUAAGUAGGAAAAAAAUGGAAGAUAGAAAAAAAAUAAUAGAAAAUAAAAAUUUCAGUAAUAUAUUAGAAGAAAUAGAAAAUCGUGUUAAAAUAAUGAACACACGAUAUUUAUGUAAUUUUAGCUUAAGGCUAGCUAGUAUUUCGUUAAAUAAUGAACAGAUAAAACAAGUUUUAACUAAAAUAAGUGAAACUGUAUUAAAAAAAAUAAAUGUAAAUCCACGUGAUUUAGUAGGAAUAUUUUAUGCUUUAAGUUUAUGUAAUAACAUGAAUGAAUAUUAUUUUGAACAUGUAAAAAAAGAGACGUUAGCUAAUAUUGAUGCGUAUACACCGACUUUAUUAACACAAUUAUUAGAAAGUAUGAGAUUAUCACAAAACUUAGAUGUUGAAAUGACAAAUUUAAUUGUAGAAAAAAUGUGUGAAGAAAUGGAUCGUUUUACAACAAAGGAUGUUACGUUAGCAUUAAAAACAUUAUCUAUGGCUGGAAUACCAAGAGGUUUUUUAAUAAGAAGAUUAUGUAAUCUAGUAUUUGAUAAUAUUUCACACUUUCACUACACAGCAUUAAUAAAUAUUAUAUAUAAUUUAACAAAACUUAAAUUUACUACUAUUAAUCACAUUGAUGUAAUUUAUAAAAAUGUAGAGGAACAUAUUGAAAAAUGCAAUAUAAACACUUUAUGUGAGUUAUUAUAUACAUUUUAUAUGAAUCAAAUAAAUGAAGAAAGUAAAAUAAAUAAAAUUUUUGAAAAUAUUAAUUAUGAUCAUUUUAAUACUACCAAAACAGCUGUUAUCAUUGAUUUUAUACACGCAGCAACAUAUUAUAAUAAAUAUAUAAAAGACAAAACACAAUUUUUAAAUUUGAUAGAUUUAUUGUUUAAACGUCCUGUACCUAAAUCAUUAACACUUAUUGCUAAGAUAAGAGAACCCAUAUAUUAUUUGGCAUCAGAUAGUAAUAAUAUUGACAAUGAUAUCGAUAAUAGUAAUGAUAAAAAUAUAAAAUAUGAUAUAAAAAAUGUGACAACUUCAUGGGAAAAUGCUAUGAACGAUUUUUUACGUAUAGAUCAUGAAAAAUUACAAGGACUCAAAACAUUUCAUGAAGUACAAAAUAUAUUAAAUGCUAUUGCACCAACAUUUGGAUUAAAUUUUACUCCUUUACAAAUUUCUAAUUCUUAUUCUGUCGAUUUUAUAGAAAAUGAACAUAAAAUUAUUAUAGAUUUAGAUACUAUCGUUAGACAUACAUCUUUUCAAAUUAAACAUAACCAUUUUAAAAAUUUGGGAUAUAGAACUGCUAAAAUUCAUUUUUGGAAAUGGAGAAAAUGUAAGUCAGAAAAAGAGCAACAAAACUAUUUAUCGGAUAUUAUAUAUUCUGUUACUGACUCGAAAAAAAAGAUAGACAAUGUUGACCCCCUUGUUGCCCAGCAGGCCAACUAA
rnacentral:lncRNA from 1 species